rnacentral:rRNA from 1 species
AUUGAACGCUGGCGGCAUGCUUUACACAUGCAAGUCGAACGGUAACAGGCCGCAAGGUGCUGACGAGUGGCGAACGGGUGAGUAAUGCAUCGGAACGUGCCCAGUCGUGGGGGAUAACGCAGCGAAAGCUGUGCUAAUACCGCAUACGAUCUAUGGACGAAAGCGGGGGACCGUAAGGCCUCGCGCGAUUGGAGCGGCCGAUGUCAGAUUAGGUAGUUGGUGGGGUAAAGGCUCACCAAGCCAACGAUCUGUAGCUGGUCUGAGAGGACGACCAGCCAGACUGGGACUGAGAAACGGCCCAGACUCCUACGGGAGGCAGCAGUGGGGAAUUUUGGACAAUGGGCGCAAGCCUGAUCCAGCAAUGCCGCGUGCAGGAAGAAGGCCUUCGGGUUGCAAACUGCUUUUGUACGGAACGAAACGGUCUGGGUUAAUACCCUGGGCUAAUGACGGUACCGUAAGAAUAAGCACCGGCUAACUACGUGCCAGCAGCCGCCGUAACAC